GCCAGCCCGCUCAGAAACUUAAAUGAAUUGACGGGGGCCCGCACAAGCAGCGGAGCAUGUGGUUUAAUUCGAAGCAACGCGAAGAACCUUACCAAGACUUGACAUCCCCUGACAGCUGUUGAAAGGCAGUGUCUCUUCGGAGCAGGGAGACAGGUGGUGCAUGGUUGUCGUCAGCUCGUGUCGUGAGAUGUUGGGUUAAGUCCCGCAACGAGCGCAACCCUUAUCCUUAGUUACCAGCACGUAAAGGUGGGGACUCUAGGGAGACCGCCGGGGACGACUCGGAGGAAGGUGGGGACGACGUCAAAUCAUCAUGCCCCUUAUGUCUUGGGCUACACACGUGCUACAAUGGCCGCAACAGAGGGAAGCGAGAGCGCAAGCUGGAGCAAAACCCUAAAAAGCGGUCCCAGUUCGGAUUGUGGGCUGCAACCCGCCCACAUGAAGUCGGAGUUGCUAGUAAUCGCGAAUCAGCAUGUCGCGGUGAAUGCGUUCCCGGGCCUU
rnacentral:rRNA from 1 species